rnacentral:rRNA from 1 species
AGAGUUUGAUCCUGGCUCAGGACGAACGCUGGCGGCGCGCCUAACACAUGCAAGUCGAACGAGCGAGAGAGAGCUUGCUUUCUCGAGCGAGUGGCGAACGGGUGAGUAACGCGUGAGGAACCUGCCUCAAAGAGGGGGACAACAGUUGGAAACGACUGCUAAUACCGCAUAAGCCCACAGGUCGGCAUCGACCAGAGGGAAAAGGAGCAAUCCGCUUUGAGAUGGCCUCGCGUCCGAUUAGCUAGUUGGUGAGGUAAUGGCCCACCAAGGCGACGAUCGGUAGCCGGACUGAGAGGUUGAACGGCCACAUUGGGACUGAGACACGGCCCAGACUCCUACGGGAGGCAGCAGUGGGGAAUAUUGCACAAUGGGGGAAACCCUGAUGCAGCGACGCCGCGUGGAGGAAGAAGGUCUUCGGAUUGUAAACUCCUGUUGUUGAGGAAGAUAAUGACGGUACUCAACAAGGAAGUGACGGCUAACUACGUGCCAGCAGCCGCGGUAAAACGUAGGUCACAAGCGUUGUCCGGAAUUACUGGGUGUAAAGGGAGCGCAGGCGGGAAGACAAGUUGGAAGUGAAAUCCAUGGGCUCAACCCAUGAACUGCUUUCAAAACUGUUUUUCUUGAGUAGUGCAGAGGUAGGCGGAAUUCCCGGUGUAGCGGUGGAAUGCGUAGAUAUCGGGAGGAACACCAGUGGCGAAGGCGGCCUACUGGGCACCAACUGACGCUGAGGCUCGAAAGUGUGGGUAGCAAACAGGAUUAGAUACCCUGGUAGUCCACACCGUAAACGAUGAUUACUAGGUGUUGGAGGAUUGACCCCUUCAGUGCCGCAGUUAACACAAUAAGUAAUCCACCUGGGGAGUACGACCGCAAGGUUGAAACUCAAAGGAAUUGACGGGGGCCCGCACAAGCAGUGGAGUAUGUGGUUUAAUUCGA